ensembl:lincRNA
UGGAUCGCUGGGGCCUCGGGCGGGGUGCACCGCUGUCCUUUCGCCGCCGUCCGGGCGGCACUGCACGUGCAGCGCGCGGUCCCCCACCCAGCGCAGCCCGCAACACCCCUGGUCUGCCGCAGGAGACCCUGCCGAUGCCACUCAGGGUCAAGACUCUGGCGCGGUGGAAACCGCAGAGCGAAAGGAAACACAGACAAAAACAGUGAGAAGGUAAAAAGAGAGCGAGAGAAAACAGCUAGGGAGCAAGGAGCAGAAACCCUGCAAGAACAGAGACAAAAAGCGGAAGGUCCAUCAGCGGAAGCGGGCUGCCCUAAUCACCUGCGAUGCGUGUGUUUAUGGAACCUUGUCACUGUCACCACGCUGGUGUCCACACGCAGCUUAAUGAGGAGAGAGAGCAUGUGGGGCUUUGCCAGAGAGGAACUUGGAUGGCAAUCACCUAAGAACUCCAAACUCAGUGCCAGGGCAGACUGGUGUCUAUUUUGGUGGGUUUCCAAGUUCUGAACAUUGGAAUUUAAAUGCAGAUGGAGGCCACUCUGGACGUGUGUCCACGG